rnacentral:rRNA from 1 species
AUGUGCAGGCUACGCACCAGCCGGGCAUGCAAUGCGCGAGGUAUUAGCAGAUCAAUGGCGAUAGCAGUGGGAGUAGGUGUGGGUGAGUGGGUAUGGUGGCCGGGCCUCGCCCUCGGCGCCGUCCCGCUGCUCUGCCUCGCCGUCUGGCACUCCACCGACGCGUGGUACCGCGCCGCCUUCUUCCUCAGGCACGGCGGCCGGCGCCGCCUGCCGCCGGGCCACAUUGGCCUGCCUUUCCUCGGUGAGACGCUCUCCUUCGUCUGGCACUUCAAGCUCGCGCGCCGCCCGGACGACUUCAUCGCCGCCAAGAGGCGCGCGCACGGCUCCGGGGCCGGCAUCUACCGGACGCACCUCUUCGGCUCCCCUGCCGUCAUCGCGUGCUCUCCGGCGGCCAACAAGUUCGUGUUCCAGUCCGCCGAUAACUUCGGCAUACGGUGGCCGGUGCCGGAGCUCAUCGGCCACAAGUCCAUGGUCAACGUCGAGGGCGCCAGCCACGCCAGGCUUCGUGGGAUCAUCCUCACCGCCAUCAACCGCCCCAGCUCGCUUCGGACCAUCGCCGCCGUCUUGCAGCCGCGUGUUGUGGCGGCGCUGGCCGCGUGGGCAGACAUGGGGACAAUCGUUGCCUCCACCGAGAUCAAGAAAGUGACGUUCGCGAACAUAUUCAGAAUGUUCAUAAGCAUGGAGCCGUCGCCAUUGACAGAGCAGAUAGACCAGUGGUUCGGCAGCCUGAUGGCUGGCCUCAGGGCAUUCCCCUUGGAUUUUCCAGGGACAACAUUUCACCGCGCUCGCAAGUGCCGUCAGAAGCUGAACGCGGUCUUCCGACAUGAGCUAGAGGCAAGGAAGAAGGUGGACAAGAAGUGUGAUGAUCUCAUGAGCGGGCUGAUGUGCACCGAGGAUGAGCAGGGGAAGAGGCUGAGUGAUGAGGAGGUUGUGGACAACAUGGUCAACCUCGUGGUCGCUGGCUAUGAAUCCACGGCCAGCGCCAUCAUGUGGGCUACCUACCACUUGGCCAAAUCCCCUGCCGCCCUCGCCAAGCUCCGAGAGGAGAACAUGGCAGUGAGCGAAAGCAAAGGUGGUUCAUUGAUGAUCACCCAUGAUGACCUCCCAAGGAUGAAGUACACGGCGAAGGUGGUGGAGGAGACGAUCCGAAUGGCCAACGUCGCCCCCAUGGUGCACCGCGUGGCGAACCGGGACGUGGAGUAUGGUGGGUACACGAUCCCGGCGGGGUGGCCGGUGCUCGUGUGGGUGAGGUCGCUGCACACCGACCCAGUCUACUACCAGGACCCCCUCACCUUCAACCCCGACAGAUGGGAUAAACCAGCGAAGCCAGGGACGUACCAGGCAUUCGGUGGCGGAUAUAGGAUUUGUGCCGGGAACAUGCUCGCGAAGUUGCAGAUCACCAUCAUGCUCCAUCACCUCUCCACUGGUUAUGAAUGGGAGCUGUUGAAUCCUGAUGCGAAGAUCAAUUACCUUCCACACCCAAGGCCAAUGGAUGGCGCAUCCAUGACCUUCCGUAAGCUUAGAGCUUGA